AUUCGCUAGUAAUCGCGCAUCAGCCAUGGCGCGGUGAAUACGUUCCCGGGCCUUGUACACACCGCCCGUCAAGCCAUGGGAGUCGGGAGUGCCUGAAGUUCGUGACCGUAUAGGAGCGACCUAGGGCAAGACUGAUGACUGGGGCUAAGUCGUAACAAGGUAGC
rnacentral:rRNA from 1 species